CCUCUUUGAUUUUUCUUUUUCUUUUUCCUUUUAUAUUGUCAAUGUCAAUAACAAUAGGUUGAUCAAGAAUCUGGAGCAAAUCAAAAGGAAGAUUAUCAUCUCUGCAAAAUCAUGAGAACACCGAAAAUUGCAAGAUCAGUUUGAGAGGAAAUGGGUUUUUAACAUGCAAUAGCAAUUUUGUGCGGGCAGGUAAAACAGCUUAAUGAGGCUAUAAAGGUUAGAGUUGCAGAGUGGUCGUUGGGGAGUCAGAACACAAACCAUUGGUGUACAGAAUAGCAUGCUGCAAUAGUAUUUUGGAGUUUUAUUUCUAAAAGUAGGGGAAUGGGGAUCUAUUGUGAUGUUCUGAGCAUAGGAGGGAUCGCUUUGAAGUACGAAGUUUUAAUAAUAUUUAAAUGGAUGGAGAUGCUAAAAGCCAAAAUUUGGAUCACAGGUCCACGUAAAUUACAGCAUUACGACUUGUCGUGCCUGUAGUUUUUUCCUCGACGGAAAGUGGUAAUUUUUUCAUGUGUUUAAUCCUCUAGAAAUCUCUGUUAAGAGCUGCAAACCAGGAAAGGAAGUGAAUUGCUACUGGACAAUGAGAUUUUAAGAUUUUUUCAGUAAUGCAAUCAUUGAAGAAAGAGAACAAGGAGAAUCCAAGAGAUACAGAACCAGUUGGUGAGGUAAAUGACAUUUUCAACGAUCUUGCUGUGAGCCUGUGAUGGUGCAUGAGUAAGGAGCUGUCAUGGGUAACUCAGCUCCCUCCAUAGAGAUAAGAAGAGAUAAAUGAAUGACUGGUUGGCACUUAAGAAAGCAAAGUAAACCAGGUGCCAAAGAAUAUUUGAACUACAUUGGUUAGAUGGAGAAAUUGGGUACAUGGUGAAUGGUGAGGUGCCUCCGAAAAAUAGUUAAUUAGCUUUUGUAUUAGCUUUUGUUUCUCAAAUGUACAUCUAACAUUGUUUCCUUGACACCUCUAUUAUAGAUGACAAUUAUAGAUGACAUAAAGGUUAUUCUUUCUUGAAUAGUCUAAUCUUUGCAAAUCUUUAUUAUCUCCAUUUUUAGUUAAUCGUUUCUCUGCAAUGCGCCUAAUUCUUUUUCUCAUACUACCUUUUAAAUUGUGGACCAGGUGGUAGAAGUAUUCGAACUAUCAGACAUCUGAUGACAAGGAAAAAGCAAUUUAGGUCAACAUUUUUAGAUAGCUAAUUACAUGUAUCUAAUAUAUUAAGCGGUUUUGUAAAUUGUGACAACAUCGUUGUUUUUUAGAGAGCCUUUGCGUAGCUGUCCUUGAUGUUUCUUUCAUGGAGCCUUUGGGUUGUUUAAAUUUUGAUUUUGGUCUUUUAUGAUUAAUGAUGACUAAGUGUUAAGAUAGCUAAUUACAUUGCUGAUUAUCGGUUAUCUGUUUGUUUAUCAGAUAGCUCACAUGUAAUUAACUAUGUUUUAGCUGUUUGUUUCUCUGGUCUUUUUAGGUGUUCUACAUUCUCACUUUGGUCACUUUGGUGAUUACCGGUUCUCUGAACAAAGGCGGCACCCUUUAAAUUGAAGGUAUUAUGUACUUUCAUCAGAUUAUGUUCUAUCUACUGCUGCUUUUAAACCCAAGUCUUAGAAACCUCCAAACUGUACUGAUUGUGCUCCUCUAUGCUCCUCUAAGGUCUGUUUCCACGCUUUCUUUCUAAUUCCUUUUUCCGAUUUGGAUUUUGUUUCAAUCACCAUGUUUUUACAUUUGUUUUCGUUAGUUGCAUUUACACUGGCUUGCAUCUUCAAGAAGGACAUUAGCUUCUCCACUUUUGCUUACGGAUGGAUAGAAGGGUACGGUGUUUCCAAGCACCGUGUUUUUUUUACGGUUUUUUAUUUGAAUAAGUUUGUUAAAACUAUAUAAUUGCGUGUUUUCUACUGUGAUAUACUGUACGAGAAUUAUCGAGAUGUUGUGCUGUACUGUAUGAGCAAUAUCGAGAUGCUAUGAUACAUCAUGCCAGUAGGAUGAGAGUAGUUAGGGGCCACCUUAAAGUCUAUGACUCAGGUACCGUCAUGCUUAUGGAUUGUUUUCUUACAAAUCCAAGUCCCAGUGGUCGAAAGAUCUCUUGACAAAUCUUGAUGACCACCGUCUCACCGUUCUCUCAAAUUAAGGUCUGGAAGUUGUGCGUCAGCAUACAUAUUUCCGUAUUUUUUUAUUAUUUAUGCGAUUUUGAAAAUGGAAAUAUAUGCGAUUUUUAAACGGGAAUAUAUGCGAUUUUUUUUUAAAAUGGAAAUAUAUGUCUACUUUUGUUAUUUUUGUCAAUUUUUAAACAGGAAUAUAUGCGAUUCUUUUUAAGAGAAGUUGUUUUGCCUGUAAUAGGUGCCAGGAUCUUUGUUAACAAAUCUAGGAACUGCUGGAAAAAGUAUGUGUUCAUAUCUGUAUUUAGAUUAUUACUCCAAAUAUAGAGGUUGAUCGCCGACAAAUUUAUGCCAAAUUUAAAGAAAAAAUCAGAUAAUUUUCUUAGAAACCAAGUUAUGGAGCUAUAUAGUAUAUAAAAUGGUACAGGGGUUCUUGGCUGCUCAUUCAGUCACGUACUUCCGCAUAUAGGAUACCAAGCUACAGCUGGGUACAGGAUACCAAGCUAUCAAACUCGCACUUUCAAUGGCUGGGGAGGGAAAUCAGAAUUUCUUUUUUGAUUUGUAAGCUUUUAUUUAAAUAUGCUGUUAUUUUGAUAUGUUUUAGAUUUCAAGUUUUUGUUAUUGUUAAGAUAACUUAUGUGAUUUCAGUUGAUUUUUCAACAUGAAUAGUGAUGAAGGUCACAAGCAGUGGAUGAUUUCUUGAUACACACCGGGAGGUAUUGCCAACGGCAAACUUCUCCAAUGGUUUACGUGUACGAGGUCCAUGGGUAUUGUUAAUUUGGAAUUGUGGUGGUGGGUGUCUCCACAUCUUGGUUUAUGGAGUUCGCUCAGUUAUUGUAAUUUCAUAAAAUCAGACUAACACACUAAUUGUGGACUCUUAUCUUCAGUAUUGGUACUAUUGACUUUUUUUUGUUAUAUUUGAUUAUAUAGUUUUUCCUCCUUUA